rnacentral:rRNA from 1 species
UACAGAGGGGGCAAGCGUUGUUCGGAAUUACUGGGCGUAAAGGGCGCGUAGGCGGCCCGCUAAGUCGAACGUGAAGUCCCUGGGCUCAACCCAGGAACUGCGUCCGAUACUGGCAGGCUUGAAUCCGGGAGAGGGAUGUGGAAUUCCAGGUGUAGCGGUGAAAUGCGUAGAUAUCUGGAGGAACACCGGUGGCGAAGGCGGCAUCCUGGACCGGUAUUGACGCUGAUGCGCGAAAGCCAGGGGAGCAAACGGG